ensembl:lncRNA
AGACGUAACCCAGCGGUUGAGUUAUUUAUUGCGGGGAUUUUUCUUAUCUUCUGGAGAGAGCAGUUCUAAGCGCCAUCGAUUUGAUGCAUUCGUCGGUAAAAUGCAGGUUAUAAAGGCAGUCGCAGUAUAUUUCGGCUUUAAAGUGAAAAGCAGGGCGGCGCGGUCUCAGCCGUGAGCAGUUCCCCGCCGAACACGACUCCAGCUCGGCACGAGAACAAGCGCGGCGCGGCGCACUUACGCUGGAAACAGAAUAACAGAGACUGGUUAAUAACACAUUAUCAUUUUGGAUGAAUUGAUGACCAGCCAAAAUGGACCUACAUUUCAAGCCAAGUUCCCCCUCAAAUCAUCAGCCCAGAUGUCUG